CAGAUCUAGCAUCUUGGUUUUGAUCUCUUGUGCAGCUCUGGUACAGGGAUGAGUCAUGGCAGUUCCUGAGCGAGGAUAACAGUGACCUCUCCGCGUUGGUGUUUAUAAACCACGGCUCCAAGAAAGCUCUUCGCUCCCAGUCAUCCUCAACUUCCCGGAGCACUGCCAAGCUCUGAUCCAGCUUACUGUUGGAGAUUAUGAUCCGGCAGUCGAGAACAAUUCUCUCCUCUGGUCUAUUUCCGGAAGCUCGGACGAUCAAGUCUUCGUCACAGAGACUGGGAAUUCGUCCGUGUUUUUGAGCCACACUUCGUCGUCGAGGUCCAGCUUUAAAGACGGAGUGCCAGUGGUGACAUCUUCCCAGGGUGAAAACUCUAGGUGGAAGAUCGUUGCUUAUGGUAAUCCUCUAGACUUCUGGUCAAUUCCUUUUGAUUUUUCUCGUUGUGCUGCACAGUGCCUUCGCAUGUGUACAGGAUUCUGUGCCACUGGUUUGGCAAUUACUUGACUUGGAAGCAGCAAAAUGUGGACGUAACUUUCAAGGAUGCAAUCAUGCACAACGACGAGACAAACGUGGUGGCUGUUAGUCCAAACAACAUUUCUCUCAACGGCAUGGCAUGGUUCAAGGUUCCUGCUGGUGACCGAGACAAUACCACGUACUUUACCUCGUUUAUCCUAAUAAACAAGACUGGUCUAGCACUCAGGAGACAAGGUGCUCUUGACUCAAUUUGAUCCUCUUGACUACGGUUUUGUGUGGUCUGAGGACCGAUUCCAGGCUUGAAACACGGACUAUGUGGCCAUCAAUCUGGAUGGAACGAACUUGCAGUGGUCUCUGCAGAACGACGAUCAGGACCAGAACAGUGCGUGAUAUCAUCCUCUCGUUCUUCGCCCGGCAUCUGCAAACCAAGGAUAUGUUGAGCAGCAGACCUGGAAAUUCAAUCCAGUGAACAAUGUUUAGCUGGGACUUUUAUGUUCAUAAAUGAGAUGAGAAGAUGCUAGAUCUAUGCAUGAAUGUUCAUAUGAAUAAUUACACUUCUAAAUGUUUAAUCAGCUGCAGUAUGAUCAAUGUCA